AUUGAACGCUGGCGGCAUGCCUUACACAUGCAAGUCGAACGGCAGCGGACCUUCGGGUGCCGGCGAGUGGCGAACGGGUGAGUAAUAUAUCGGAACGUACCUUUCAGUGGGGGAUAACGUAGCGAAAGUUACGCUAAUACCGCAUAUUCUGUGAGCAGGAAAGCAGGGGAUCGCAAGACCUUGCGCUGAUUGAGCGGCCGAUAUCAGAUUAGCUAGUUGGUGAGGUAAAGGCUCACCAAGGCGACGAUCUGUAGCGGGUCUGAGAGGAUGAUCCGCCACACUGGAACUGAGACACGGUCCAGACUCCUACAGGAGGCAGCAGUGGGGAAUUUUGGACAAUGGGCGCAAGCCUGAUCCAGCCAUGCCGCGUGAGUGAAGAAGGCC
rnacentral:rRNA from 1 species